rnacentral:rRNA from 1 species
GUGCCAGCCGCCGCGGUAAUACGGAGGAUGCAAGCGUUAUCCGGAAUGAUUGGGCGUAAAGCGUCCGCAGGUGGCUGUGUAAGUCUGCUGUCAAAGAGCGAAGCUCAACUUCGUAAAGGCAGUGGAAACUACACGGCUAGAGUGCGUUCGGGGCAGAGGGAAUUCCUGGUGUAGCGGUGAAAUGCGUAGAGAUCAGGAAGAACACCGGUGGCGAAGGCGCUCUGCUAGGCCGCAACUGACACUGAGGGACGAAAGCUAGGGGAGCGAAUGGGAUUAGAUACCCCAGUAGUCCUAGCUGUAAACGAUGGAUACUAGGCGUGGCUUGUAUCGACCCGAGCCGUGCCGUAGCUAACGCGUUAAGUAUCCCGCCUGGGGAGUACGCACGCAAGUGUGAAACUUAAAUGAAUUGACGGGG